AACCUGGGAACUGCAUGUGAUACUGGUGGUGCUAGAAUAUGUGAGAGGGAAGUAGAAUUCCAGGUGUAGCGGUGAAAUGCGUAGAGAUCUGGAGGAAUACCGAUGGCGAAGGCAGCUUCCUGGCAUAAUAUUGACACUGAGAUUCGAUAGCGUGGGUAGCAAACAGGAUUAGAUACCCUGGUAGUCCACGCCGUAAACGAUGUCUACUAGCCGUUGGGGUCCUUGAGACUUUAGUGGCGCAGUUAACGCGAUAAGUAGACCGCCUGGGGAGUACGGCCGCAAGGUUAAAACUCAAAUGAAUUGACGGGGGCCCGCACAAGCGGUGGAGCAUGUGGUUUAAUUCGAUGCAACGCGAAGAACCUUACCUGGUCUUGACAUAGUGAGAAUCCUGCAGAGAUGCGGGAGUGCCUUCGGGAAUUCACAUACAGGUGCUGCAUGGCUGUCGUCAGCUCGUGUCGUGAGAUGUUGGGUUAAGUCCCGCAACGAGCGCAACCCUUUUCCUUAUCUGCCAGCGGGUUAAGCCGGGAACUUUAAGGAUACUGCCAGUGACAAACUGGAGGAAGGCGGGGACGACGUCAAGUCAUCAUGGCCCUUACGACCAGGGCUACACACGUGCUACA
rnacentral:rRNA from 1 species